rnacentral:rRNA from 1 species
AACAAAGCGGAAAAGGGCACACGGUGGAUGCCUUGGCAUGCAGAGGCGAUGAAGGACGUGUAAAGCUGCGAUAAGCUACGGGGAACUGCAAAAAAGUGUAGAUCCGUAGAUUUCCGAAUGGGGCAACCCAAUAGAGCCCCCGCAAUAGCGGGGGAGGCAUACCCGGGGAACUGAAACAUCUAAGUACCCGGAGGAAGAGAAAACAAUAGUGAUUCCCUAAGUAGUGGCGAGCGAACGGGGAGGAGCCCAAACCGUGGCCUACGGGCUGCGGGGUUGUAGGACCUGCGCAAGUGUAUAUAUCAGAAAUCGAAGCCGCCUGGAAAGCGGCCCCACAGAAGGUGAAAGGCCUGUAGGUGUAAUGAUGUAUAUAUGGCGGGUAUCCUGAGUAGCGCGAGGCCGGUGAAACCUUGCGUGAAUCUGCCGGCACCAUCCGGUAAGGCUAAAUACAUCUGCAUGACCGAUAGUGAACCAGUACCGUGAGGGAAAGGUGAAAAGA